rnacentral:rRNA from 1 species
UAACGACUCUCGACAACGGAUAUCUCGGCUUUCGCAUCGAUGAAGAACGUAGCGAAAUGCGAUACUUGGUGUGAAUUGCAGAAUCCCGUGAACCAUCGAGUCUUUGAACGCAAGUUGCGCCCGAAGCCAUUAGGCCGAGGGCACGUCUGCCUGGGCAUCUCACA